AGAAAAGCCAUUAACUAAGGCCUAGAAAAAGCAUGAAGUAUAUGAUCAACACGAGCAUUGUUAUCAAUUUGUUGUUGAAUAAGUUGAUCUUUUAAUCUCCCAACUCCCCCAGAGAAGCAGCCAACUGAGCCUGAAGAAUAGUAACUUCAUCUUUUAGUAACACAUUUUGAGCUCGAGCCUCAUUAAGCUCAGAAAUUAGAGCAGUGACUG
rnacentral:misc_RNA from 1 species